rnacentral:rRNA from 1 species
UACGUAGGCAGCGAGCGUUGUUCGGAAUCACUGGGCGUAAAGGGUGCGUAGGCGGGUCUUUAAGUCAGGGGUGAAAUCCUGGAGCUCAACUCCAGAACUGCCUUUGAUACUGAAGAUCUUGAGUUCGGGAGAGGUGAGUGGAACUGCGAGUGUAGAGGUGAAAUUCGUAGAUAUUCGCAAGAACACCAGUGGCGAAGGCGGCUCACUGGUCCGGUACUGACGCUGAGGUGCGAAAGCGUGGGGAGCAAACAGG